rnacentral:lncRNA from 1 species
UCUACUCCAGAAUAGGAGUAAGAUAUGCGUACACAUUAUCCUCGUCAGACCCCACUACAUAACAUUAUACUGUGCUGUUGGUGUUAGUACUAUACUACUACUACUAGAAAAAUGUUACCCCCAGAUUGAAAAAAAAUAAUAAUUAGUACUCAGUAAUCUCUCUCUUUCUUUGUCAGAGGGUUGAAGAAAUGUUGAUUUUUUCUCUACUGAUGGUCUGUUUCUCUCUCUAAUCUCUCUUUCUUGAACAAAUACUCAAGUAUUAAAGAUUGCAGCUUUUGUAUUUAUUUGGGUAUGUAAAUUUCUCUAGCUAACAAGAGUCUUCUCUUUCACACCUCCCAAACUCUCCGCUCUCUCUCCAUCAACACAGCCCUAUGGAGAUUGGCGAAUAUAGGGUUUGACAAUACAACCCCAUAAGUAAAGGUCUGUUCUUUGUGUUCUUUCUUGCUCAAUGUUAUAGCUCUGUUGCCUGUGUUGGAUGCUGAUUACCUUCAGUCUAUGUCUUCUUUUUCUGGUUAUUUUUUAGCUCAUUAAUAGUUUAAUCUGACUUUCCACUUGCUAUAAUGGUAAGAUUAUACCUUUCUUGAGCUAAAUUAUUUCAAGGAUGUUUAGUUCUUUUGGUUGGAAUCUCUUCUAUUUUAGGAAUUAGGGCUCCUCUUUUUUUUUAAUUUUUUUAUUGUACCUUUUGUUAGUGAAAUGGAGGAGAUUGAGGAAGCUAACAGGGUAGCAGUAGAGAGUUGUCAUAGAGUUGUUUGUCUGUUAACUCAACUUUUUUCUUUUAUACCUUUUGUUUUACUUGGUGAAAUGGAGGAGAUUGAGGAAGCUAACAGGGUAGCAGUUGAGAGUUGUCAUAGAGUUGUUAGUCUGUUAACUCAACAACAUGAUCAGAAACAGUAUGGAAAUU